rnacentral:rRNA from 1 species
AUUGAACGCUGGCGGCAGGCCUAACACAUGCAAGUCGAACGAGUGGCGGACGGGUGAGUAAUGUCUGGGAAACUGCCUGAUGGAGGGGGAUAACUACUGGAAACGGUAGCUAAUACCGCAUACCCUCGGAUGUGCCCAGAUGGGAUUAGCUAGUAGGUGGGGUAAAGGCUGACCUAGGCGACGAUCCCUAGCUGGUCUGAGAGGAUGACCGGCCACACUGGAACGUAGACACGGUCCAGACUCCUACGGUAGGCAGCAGUGGGGAAUAUUGAGCAAUGGGCGCAAGCCUGAUACAGCAAUGCCGCGUGUAUGAAGAAGGCUUUCGGGUUGUAAAGUACUGUCAGCGAGGAGGCGUUACCCGCAGAAGAAGCACCGGCUAACUACGUGCCAGCAGCCGCGGUAAUAC